UACGUAGGGACCAAGCGUUGUUCGGAUUUACUGGGCGUAAAGGGCGCGUAGGCGGCGCUGUAAGUCACUUGUGAAAUCUCCGGGCUUAACUCGGAACGGUCAAGUGAUACUGCAGUGCUAGAGUGCGGAAGGGGCAAUCGGAAUUCUUGGUGUAGCGGUGAAAUGCGUAGAUAUCAAGAGGAACACCUGAGGUGAAGACGGGUUGCUGGGCCGACACUGACGCUGACAGCGCGAAAGCCAGGGGAGCGAACAGG
rnacentral:rRNA from 1 species